CAUGUCUUUUUGAUUUUAAUUUAAGGUUUAAUCUGCUCAAUGAUUAUUUAAAUUGCCGCAGUAUUUUAACUGUGCAAAGGUAGCAUAAUAAUUAGUUUCUUGAUUAGGGGCUGGAAUGAAUGAUUUGACGAGAAAAUUACUGUCUCUUGUUAAUUGGUAAUUGAAUUUUAUUUUUAAGUCAAAAAGCUUAAAUAAUAAUAAAAGACGAGAAGACCCUAUAGAGUUUAAUAUUGAUUUAUAUUAAUUUUUAGUAAUUUAAUAAUAAUAAGAUAUUUAGUUGGGGUGACUUAAAGAUUUAAUUAAUUCUUUAAUUUAUUUAUUGUUGAUAAAUAAAUUUAUAAUCUAUAUUUUUAAAUAUAAUAUAAAUUACCUUAGGGAUAACAGCGUUAUUUUUCUUUAGAGUUCUUAUUAAAAGAAAAGAUUGCGACCUCGAUGUUGGAUUAAAAUUUAUUUUUGGAGUAGUUGCUUUAAAAUUAGGUCUGUUCGACCUUUAAAAUUUUACAUGAUCUGAGUUUAAAUCGGUGUAAGCCAGAUUGGAUUCUAUCUUUAAUAAAAUAUAUUAUUUUAGUACGAAAGGACCAAAUAUUUAUUAAAUAUUAAUUGUUAUUUUGGCAGAUUAGUGUGUUUGAUUUAGAAUCAUUUUAAGUAAUUAUUUUACAAAUAAUAUUUGAUUUUAUAUGAUUUAAUUAAGUUAAUUUUAUCUUUAGUAUUACUUGUAAUUUUAGUUUAAAUUGGAGUAGCUUUUUUUACUUUAUUAG
rnacentral:rRNA from 1 species